CAGGAUGAACGCUGGCGGCGUGCCUAAUACAUGCAAGUCGAACGAAUCUCUUUUAGAGAUGAGUGGCGAACGGGUGAGUAAUACAUAGGUAACCUGCCCCUGUGCGGGGGAUAACAGGAGGAAACUCCUGCUAAUACCGCAUAGCCAUGAGCACCGCAUGGAGCUCAUGCCAAAUAUCCUUUAUGGGAUAGCGCAGGGAUGGACCUAUGGCGCAUUAGCUGGUUGGCGGGGCAACGGCCCACCAAGGCAACGAUGCGUAGCCGGCCUGAGAGGGCGGACGGCCACAUUGGGACUGAGACACGGCCCAGACUCCUACGGGAGGCAGCAGUAGGGAAUUUUCGGCAAUGGGGGAAACCCUGACCGAGCAACGCCGCGUGAGCGAAGAAGGCCUUCGGGUCGUAAAGCUCUGUUGUAAAGGAAGAACGGCGCAUACAGGAAAUGGUAUGCGAGUGACGGUACUUUACCAGAAAGCCACGGCUAACUACGUGCCAGCAGCCGCGGUAAUACGUAGGUGGCGAGCGUUAUCCGGAAUCAUUGGGCGUAAAGAGGGAGCAGGCGGCCGCAAGGGUCUGUGGUGAAAGACCGAAGCUAAACUUCGGUAAGCCAUGGAAACCGGGCGGCUAGAGUGCGGAAGAGGAUCGUGGAAUUCCAUGUGUAGCGGUGAAAUGCGUAGAUAUAUGGAGGAACACCAGUGGCGAAGGCGACGGUCUGGGCCGCAACUGACGCUCAUUCCCGAAAGCGUGGGGAGCAAAUAGGAUUAGAUACCCUAGUAGUCCACGCCGUAAACGAUGGUCACUAAGUGUCGGGGGUCAAACCCCGGUGCUGCAGUCAACGCAAUAAGUGACCCGCCUGAGUAGUACGUUCGCAAGAAUGAAACUCAAAUGAAUUGACG
rnacentral:rRNA from 1 species